rnacentral:rRNA from 1 species
CGCUGGCGGCGUGCCUAAUACAUGCAAGUCGAACGGUCUUUCUAUGGAAGCUUGCUUCCACUGAGAAGAUAGUGGCGAACGGGUGAGUAACACGUGGGUAACCUGCCCAUAAGAGGGGGAUAACAUCCGGAAACGGGUGCUAAUACCGCAUAGUUUUCUUGAUCGCAUGAUUGAGAAAGGAAAGAUGGCCUUUGUGCUGUCGCUUAUGGAUGGACCCGCGGCGUAUUAGUUAGUUGGUGAGGUAACGGCUCACCAAGACGAUGAUACGUAGCCGACCUGAGAGGGUGAUCGGCCACAUUGGGACUGAGACACGGCCCAAACUCCUACGGGAGGCAGCAGUAGGGAAUCUUCCGCAAUGGACGAAAGUCUGACGGAGCAACGCCGCGUGAGUGAAGAAAGGUUUUCGGAUCGUAAAACUCUGUUGUCAGAGAAGAACAAGUUGGAGAGUAACUGCUCCAGCCUUGACGGUAUCUGACCAGAAAGCCACGGCUAACUACGUGCCAGCAGCGGC